rnacentral:rRNA from 1 species
AUGGUCCAUCAGCUUAACUCAUUUGAGCUGCCAGGCAGCCGUGUGCAAUCACAAGGAUUUCUUGACAUGGAUGUUGAUCGUGCCCGCGGCCGUGUGCAGUCACAAGGACUUGGUGCUAUUGAUGCCGAUCGUGCUCGCAGUCGUGGACAAUCACAAGGACUUGGUGAUAUUGAUGACGAUCACGGGGCUGUUGAGUAUCCUCGUGAUAUAGGUAUGACGAAGAGGGCUAAGUGGACUCAUCAAAUGAAGUUGUUUCUUAUUGACUUGCUGAAAGAGCAUGAUGUUCCUGGUUUUCGAACACAAAAUGCAUGGAGCAAAGAGGCCUGGACAAACAUUGUUAAUCGACUAAAUCAAGCAUUUUGUGUAUCAUUUAGUGUUGUUCAAGUCAAACAAAAGGAGCAAGAUAUAAAGAAGGAAUAUCGAAGUGUGAAAGAAUUGUUGGCAGAAAGUGGGUUUGGAUGGGACAAGGAUAGAAUGAUGGUAGAAGCACCAGCAAGUGUUUGGGCUAGUUUUGUUGCUCGCAAGAAUAGUAACGAGGCCCUCCAAUGGCGAGACAAGUCUUUUCCAUACUUUAAUGAUUUGGCUUCUCUCUACGAUGGUCGGUACGCCGAAGGAAGAUCUCGUCAUGGUAUGGAUUAUUAUGCUAACAAGGCAAAAAAUGCAUCUGCUCCAUCAUCGCACCCAACACAUUCGAAUGAUACAUAUGAAUCAUCUUCACCUCCAACAGUAGCUCUAGAUGAGCCAGGUUUGCAAUUUCCUUUGGAAGAAGAGGUUGAGGGAGCAAAUCUUGAUUCUGUCCAGCAUACAUCAACACCGAAUGAACAAAUGUAUACCCAAUCAAUACCCCCAAAAGCACCCACCGUGAAGCCUGAGAGUAGACGUAGAAAAAGACAGAAGCAAAAUCCUACAAGCUCCGCAGAUGGAUUCCAUGAAAGAUACCUUAGGCUCAAGAUGGAAGAAAUAAAUCGAUUUGCAGCCAUUGAGGAGAAGAAACUAGAGGCUCCAUUUAGCAUUCACAAGUGCAUCACAACGAUUGAAGGAUUAGAUGGUCUACAAUUGAGCGAUAUGUUGUUGGCAUCAGACAUCUUCAAAACUAGGGAAAACAGGGAGAUUUUCCUGUCUUUCUCUAGUGAUGAACGACGGUUGGCUUGGAUUAAAAGGGAGAUUGCUCGUACCAACGAAAACUAA